AUUGAACGCUGGCGGCAGGCCUAACACAUGCAAGUCGAACGGUAACAGGAAGAAGCUUGCUUCUUUGCUGACGAGUGGCGGACGGGUGAGUAAUGUCUGGGAAACUGCCUGAUGGAGGGGGAUAACUACUGGAAACGGUAGCUAAUACCGCAUAACGUCGCAAGACCAAAGAGGGGGACCUUCGGGCCUCUUGCCAUCGGAUGUGCCCAGAUGGGAUUAGCUAGUAGGUGGGGUAACGGCUCACCUAGGCGACGAUCCCUAGCUGGUCUGAGAGGAUGACCAGCCACACUGGAACUGAGACACGGUCCAGACUCCUACGGGAGGCAGCAGUGGGGAAUAUUGCGCAAUGGGCGCAAGCCUGAUGCAGCCAUGCCGCGUGUAUGAAGAAGGCCUUCGGGUUGUAAAGUACUUUCAGCGGGGAGGAAGAGAGUAAAGUUAAUACCUUUGCUCAUUGACGUUACCCGCAGAAGAAGCACCGGCUAACUACGUG
rnacentral:rRNA from 1 species